ACGUCACGUGGGACUCUUCCCAGGCUGGGCUCGUCGACUUGGGUGUCUGUGACAAAGGUCGGAGCCGAGCAGAACGUCUGCACAGACUGCACCCGGAGAAGGCGCAGAGACCCAGCGAUGGACGGGGGUUCGAUUCCCCCCAUCUCCACGA
rnacentral:tmRNA from 1 species